AAUUCUCAACCUCUUCACUUUGUUUACCAAUUUGAAUUGGCUUGGAUUAUGGGAGUUGCGGGCUUCUAAGUAAGUCAGCUCUUCUUAAAUGCAUUAGCAGAACUUUUGGUUGACUAUCAUUGGUGUGAUAAUUAUCUACGCCACUUGAUAUGAAAUAUAUACAGUUCCGCUUCCUAACUGUCUAUUGACUUGGACAAUUUAUCUGACU
rnacentral:misc_RNA from 1 species